rnacentral:rRNA from 1 species
AGUGAACGCUGGCGGUAGGCCUAACACAUGCAAGUCGAACGGCAGCACAGUAAGAGCUUGCUCUUACGGGUGGCGAGUGGCGGACGGGUGAGGAAUACAUCGGAAUCUACUUUUUCGUGGGGGAUAACGUAGGGAAACUUACGCUAAUACCGCAUACGACCUACGGGUGAAAGCAGGGGAUCUUCGGACCUUGCGCGAUUGAAUGAGCCGAUGUCGGAUUAGCUAGUUGGCGGGGUAAAGGCCCACCAAGGUGACGAUCCGUAGCUGGUCUGAGAGGAUGAUCAGCCACACUGGGACUGAGACACGGUCCAGACUCCUACGGGAGGCAGCAGUGGGGAAUAUUGGACAAUGGGCGCAAGCCUGAUCCAGCCAUACCGCGUGGGUGAAGAAGGCCUUCGGGUUGUAAAGCCCUUUUGUUGGGAGAGAAAAGCAGCAGGUUAAUACCCCGCUGUUCUGACGGUACCCAAAGAAUAAGCACCGGCUAACUUCGUG